UGAGUAACCUGCCCUUGACUCUGGGAUAAGCGUUGGAAACGACGUCUAAUACCGGAUACGACCAGCCUCGGCAUCGAGUGUUGGUGGAAAGAAUUUUGGUCAAGGAUGGACUCGCGGCCUAUCAGCUUGUUGGUGAGGUAAUGGCUCACCAAGGCGACGACGGGUAGCCGGCCUGAGAGGGUGACCGGCCACACUGGGACUGAGACACGGCCCAGACUCCUACGGGAGCAG
rnacentral:rRNA from 1 species